AUUAUAGUCAGGUGAAGCCUAAUGAACCUUAAUGAGGUGAAAAGUGAAGCCAGGUGCUUAAUGUAUUUAAAUCUCACUGUUUCAGUGCUACCGAGAAGCAGCAAGUGUUAUCAAGCAGAUUCCCCGAAUACGUGUCAUUCUCUCAGGGGAAACGCUUGCUAUGCACCUCUGGAGGCAGCAGGUCAAUGGGUCUGGAAACAGCUAUAUUUAGGCUUGCUGUGGGAACCUCCAACUUGGAUUACUUUCUGUUCCUGAGGUCUAUGUUCCCCCUGCUUGCAGCUCAGAUUUUUUUUUUUGCUCUUGUGUCAUGCAAGGUAUAAAUGCUCCAUAUGCACUGGGCCUUAAGUAUGGAAGGGGAAACCAACAAUCCCCCAUCGUUUAUUAAAGAAAGUAACUUUCUAUCCA